rnacentral:rRNA from 1 species
UACGUGGGGUGCAAGCGUUGUUCGGAAUUACUGGGCGUAAAGGGCUCGUAGGCGGCCAACUAAGUCAUACGUGAAAUCCCUCGGCUUAACCGGGGAACUGCGUCUGAUACUGGAUGGCUUGAGUUCGGGAGAGGGAUGCGGAAUUCCAGGUGUAGCGGUGAAAUGCGUAGAUAUCUGGAGGAACACCGGUGGCGAAGGCGGCAUCCUGGACCGAUACUGACGCUGAGGAGCGAAAGCCAGGGGAGCAAACGGG